rnacentral:rRNA from 1 species
GACGAACGCUGGCGGCGUGCCUAAUACAUGCAAGUUGAGCGCUGAAGGUUGGUACUUGUACCAACUGGAUGAGCAGCGAACGGGUGAGUAACGCGUGGGGAAUCUGCCUUUGAGCGGGGGACAACAUUUGGAAACGAAUGCUAAUACCGCAUAAAAACUUUAAACACAAGUUUUAAGUUUGAAAGAUGCAAUUGCAUCACUCAAAGAUGAUCCCGCGUUGUAUUAGCUAGUUGGUGAGGUAAAGGCUCACCAAGGCGAUGAUACAUAGCCGACCUGAGAGGGUGAUCGGCCACAUUGGGACUGAGACACGGCCCAAACUCCUACGGGAGGCAGCAGUAGGGAAUCUUCGGCAAUGGACGAAAGUCUGACCGAGCAACGCCGCGUGAGUGAAGAAGGUUUUCGGAUCGUAAAACUCUGUUGGUAGUGAAGAACGUUGGUGAGAGUGGAAAGCUCAUCAAGUGACGGUAACUACCCAGAAAGGGACGGCUAACUACGUG